rnacentral:rRNA from 1 species
AACGAACGCUGGCGGCAUGCCUAACACAUGCAAGUCGAACGAAGGCUUCGGCCUUAGUGGCGCACGGGUGCGUAACGCGUGGGAAUCUGCCCUUGGGUUCGGAAUAACUCAGAGAAAUUUGAGCUAAUACCGGAUGAUGACGUAAGUCCAAAGAUUUAUCGCCCAGGGAUGAGCCCGCGUAAGAUUAGCUAGUUGGUGGGGUAAAGGCCUACCAAGGCGACGAUCUUUAGCUGGUCUGAGAGGAUGAUCAGCCACACUGGGACUGAGACACGGCCCAGACUCCUACGGGAGGCAGCAGUGGGGAAUAUUGGACAAUGGGCGAAAGCCUGAUCCAGCAAUGCCGCGUGAGUGAUGAAGGCCUUAGGGUCGUAAAGCUCUUUUACCAGGGAUGAUAAUGACAGUACCUGGAGAAUAAAGCUCCGGCUAACUCCGUG